GAUGAACGCUGGCGGCGUGCUUAACACAUGCAAGUCGAACGGUAUCCCAGGGGUGCUUGCACUUUUUGGUGAGAGUGGCGUACGGGUGAGUCACACGUGAGUAACCUGUCCUUUUCUUUGGGAUAAGCAUUCGAAAGGGUGUUUAAUACCUUAUGUUCUGUCUGCCUCGCAUGGGGUGGGUGGGAAAGGCUUUGGCCGGAUUUGGGUGGGCUCGCGGUCUAUCAGGUUGUUGGUGGGGUGAUGGCUUACCAAGGCUUUGACGGGUAGCCGGCCUGAGAGGGCGGGCGGGGGCAUUGGGACAGAGAGGGGGGGCAGAAUGCUGCGGAAGGCAGCGGUGGGGGAUAGUGCAGAAUGGGGGAAAGCCGGAGGCAGCGAGGUGGAGCGGGGGAUGGAGGGGGUCGGGUUGUAUCGGGUUGUAGCUCUGAUCAAGGCAUGACGGUGCGUGUGUGGAGGGUAGGGGUGGAGUAGCGCCGGCUAACUACGUG
rnacentral:rRNA from 1 species